GGAUUCCCCUAGUAACUGCGAGUGAAGCGGGAAAAGCUCAAAUUUAAAAUCUGGCGGUCUUUGGCCGUCCGAGUUGUAGUCUGGAGAAGUGCUUUCCGCGCUGGACCGUGUAUAAGUCUCUUGGAACAGAGCGUCAUAGAGGGUGAGAAUCCCGUCUUUGACACGGACUACCAGUGCUUUGUGAUGCGCUCUCAAAGAGUCGAGUUGUUUGGGAAUGCAGCUCAAAAUGGGUGGUGAAUUCCAUCUAAAGCUAAAUAUUGGCGAGAGACCGAUAGCGAACAAGUACCGUGAGGGAAAGAUGAAAAGCACUUUGGAAAGAGAGUUAAACAGUACGUGAAAUUGCUGAAAGGGAAACGCUUGAAGUCAGUCGCGUCUGCCGGAACUCAGCCUUCCUUUCGGUUGGUGCAUUUUCUGGUAGACGGGCCAGCAUCGAUUUUGACCGUCGGAAAAGGGCUGGGGAAAUGUGGCACCUUUUGGUGUGUUAUAGUCUUCAGUCGCAUACGGCGGUCGGGAUCGAGGAACGCAGCGCGCCGCAAGGCAGGGGUUCGCCCACUUUCGCGCUUAGGAUGCUGGCAUAAUGGCUUUAAACGACCCGUCUUGAAACACGGACCAAGGAGUCUAACAAACCUGCGAGUGUUUGGGUGGAAA
rnacentral:rRNA from 1 species